rnacentral:misc_RNA from 1 species
AGUCGUAACAAGGUUUCCGUAGGUGAACCUGCGGAAGGAUCAUUAACACUUUCAAAUUUUUUGAAUCCAAUCAAAAAAACCAAACCAAAACACUUUUGAGAACUAUCGGGUGCUACCGCUAUUUUUUUUCCCUUUUAGUAGGAUAGAAGUUUAACUUUUUUCUCUAUUAAAAGGCAAAAAAAAAACUUUUUAAAACUCCAUUAACCUUUUAACUAUACAAAAAACCUUUUAAAUAAAACAUAUUUUUUAAUAACAAAAAAUACAACUCUUAACAAUGGAUAUCUUGGUUCUCGC